rnacentral:lncRNA from 10 species
AAAAAAAUAUAUCACCAGAAAUAAACAAGGUAAUUUCAUAAAAAUAAAAGAAUCAGAGAGGAUGAUGUUACAAUUAUAAAUUGUGCCUCAAAGUGCAAACAAAGUACACACACACACAGAGCCUCAAAUUAUGUGAAUCAAAAACAACAGAACAAAAGCAGGAAAUUGACAAUCCAAAAUUAUAACUGGUGAAUUAAUACUGCUCUCUCAGUAACUGAUGGAACAACCAGAUAAAAAUAUAGGAAAAAUACGGAUCUAAAUGACAAAAUCCUGACCCAAAUGGUACUUGGCAGUACCAAGAUAGACUGUCGAUCAAUUGAGAAAAUGUUCAAGCAUGAAAUAGUAUACAAAGUAUGUUGUCUGAACACCUGAAAUUAAAUUAGAAACCAACAACAAAUUGAUAUCCAGAAAAGCCUCAAAUGUCUGAAAACCAAGUAAUAAACUUUGAAAUACCCUGUAAGUCAAAAAAGUAUUCACAAGGGGAACUGGAAUGUAUUUGGAACAAACUUGUUAUAAAAAUCAUAUUUCUGGUAGACUAAAGGUGACAACUUCUUUCCUGCUCCUCUCUCUGUGAGAACCAAUUCCCCUUAAACCUUGCCCAGACUACUGACUUGCUUGGCCAACAGAAGGUGACAAAGGUGGUAUUUGGGGACUUCAGAAGCCAGGCUGAGAAAACAGAACACUUAUCCAGGAGAAAGCCAGUCACCAGGCAGGAAAUCCCACUCCCCUGAGACCCCAUGAUGGAAACCACACGGCCAGUCCAUGACUAGCUACAUGCAUUGACAUCCCCCAUUGACCCUCUAGCAACACCGACUCCCAACCACUAGUGAGCCUUCAGCAACAUCCACUCCCAACCACUAGUGAGCCACCCUGCACACCACCCCGCUGUGCUUUCACACAAUCCAGCUUGGCUGCAACUGUGUGUGAGAUGAGCUGGUCACCAAGACUCUCUAAGCCAAAAAACAAGUAAUAAUGAGUUGUUUUAAGCUGCCAAGUUUUGGGGAUGGUUUCUUCAGAAUAGAUAACUGGAACAGAAUAUUGUAGCUGGAAAUGAGCCGCUGUGGUAAUCAGAAGCUACAAUAUGUGCCACGACUGUGAGGCUGACCUGUAACUGGGCCUCAAGGAGACCAUUCAUGCAACCUGGAAGGGCAUCAAGACUCUUGGUCAGGGCCUGAAAGACGGUGAGAAAAUGUCAUUGGAAACUGGGGAAAAGGCCUGAGAGUUAUGUGCUGAGGGACUGUGAGAAAACUAUGGCCACAACAUGGAAACUGAAAGGGCACUGCACCAUCUCAGGGAUCUGCCUAAGGAGACAUCUGGGAAGAACAUGGAAAGUGCUAUCAGCCUCCCCUAACUGUCACUGAAUAAACAUGACAGGAGAGGGACAUGAUCUAAAGAAGGAAGUUCAGUUUUCCAACAAAAUUUAGAGAAAAUAUAAAGAAAUAAUUUCUUGUCUCAAAAGGCCAAAGAAAAAAAAAAAGAAAAGAAAAAAAAAUUAUAAAGAAGCCAUUGAAUACCCUAUUGACCAUAAGAAAAAGGCAGAGAAAGUUGGUCAACGGCAACCCAGGCACUGAAGGAAAAAGAACAUGGAGAAUGACAAAAGCCCAGAGGGAGGAGUAAAAGGACACAAACGCCGUUCUCAGGGACAAGGACUGGGCGCCGUUCUCAGGGACCUGGACUGGGCACUAAUCACAGAACUGUAACAGGCGCCCCAUGGGAAUGACCAACUGUUAGACGGGGCCUGCAGGGCAGCACCUCCCUCCUGCCUCCCACCAACAGCUUCUAAAGGGAAAUGCCGACUGUUUUCACACCAGUCCCCUCACUGCGGCUGAGUGUGUGGGCACAGAUGAUAGGUCACAACAACCUGAUUCAGUCCUCACUGUGGCUGAGUGCGUCAGGGGCAGACGACAGGCCACCACAACUUGAUUCAGUACUCA